rnacentral:lncRNA from 1 species
GGUCCCUGAGAUCCUCUCUCUGCUGCCUGAUGCUCACUGCGCUGAGCCCCACGACAGAGCAGCCUCGGUGGACUCCUGGUCCCAUUCACCCAGCUGUGGGUGUGCUGAAGUCUAAGGUUUGCAGACAGUUUUGCAUUUGUCAGAAGUGUGUUUCAGUCUGAAUCACAGCAAUACUCUUCUCUUCCACAGUUCUUGUCAACCAGUAAUUCUGAGAAAACCUGGCACUGUGACCCUUUGACCCCGGAAUUCACAUCUGCCCUGUGGUGAAGGCACCUCCUGGCCAUGGGCUCCAUGAUAGCCAUCCACUGUAAGCCCACCUGCAGGAAGAGCUCAGGAGCCACUUUGUGGACAACACCUGAGGAAUGUGCACACUCCUACUGCACAUGGCAAGGCAUCACUACCAGUAUUAACCAUGCGAAGUCAAUGUCAAUCCUGGAGCUCAGCUCAUGGCAUCUCUCCAGCACCACACUUCUCAUUCACAGCUUGGUGCUGGGAUCAUCCCACACCAGGUGAGGGCAGCUGCUUCCCUGCCAGCCCAGAGAGGCUUCCAGGGAGGGAUAGUGUCUCCAGGCACAAAGCAGGUGGCUGUGGACAGCAAGUUCACUGGGAUAUGGCAGAGCAGCUCAGCAUCACUUACCAGCUUCUUUCUUGGUGGCAGAAGACAGUGUGGCAAAAUAUUCUUGAAAAUUAAAGCACCAGUCAUUUCUGACAUUUAUUUUUUGUUCCUUCACGCUUAAUGUUAUUCAGAUACUUGAAACUGCAGU